GACAGAGGGUGCAAACGUUGCUCGGAAUCACUGGGCGUAAAGGGCGUGUAGGCGGGUAGAUAAGUCGGGCGUGAAAUCCCUAGGCUCAACCUAGGAACUGCACUCGAAACUGUCUAUCUUGAGUGCCGGAGAGGAAAGCGGAAUUCCUGGUGUAGAGGUGAAAUUCGUAGAUAUCAGGAGGAACACCAGUGGCGAAGGCGGCUUUCUGGACGGUAACUG
rnacentral:rRNA from 1 species